AGUGCUUGAAAAGGUUACCUUGGAAGAAUGAAAUUCAUCAGGCAUUUUUAUCCAACCUUCUUCAAAUUUUAUAGACCACGUUACACCGAUAUUUUAUCACUCGUAGAAAAAUAACGCGGUUACGCUCGAAGGGCAAUCACAGGUUUUACAACGGAACUUUUGUGGAAGACUUCAAAAUGUCAAGGAAGAAUACGUCGUUAAAGCGAGUAAAAACUAAGUCAGAAAUUAUUAGUUUAAGUACUUGGGAUUUCGAACAGAACUCCACAACUCUUUUAAUUCAUUAAUUUAUUAACUACACAUCUUUAUCGUCUUACUUAUUUACACUACACGCACUUACUAUUCGCCUUCCAAAUCUAUUCUAAUCGUCACGUGUCAACUGCCACGAACCGGUAACCGUCUCGCGCGCCGUAAUUUAUCGAAGAUUGCCGAAUCGUUCCGAUUCGCUCGAACGCGCUUUCGGUGACACGCCGUUGCCAUUUUCUAACGUUCCUUUUUAACAACUUUUAAUACUCUUAAAAACGUCUAGUCGUAUUAUUAUACUUGCCACAGGUACAGAAAAUAGUUGUUAAUAUAUAAACAAAUAACUGAGAACUGAUAAUUUAAUGAAUUCCUGUUUAAAAAUUAGGGUGAGUUGACACUUUUCUUUCUUGUAAGCUGUGCUUGUUAUUGUUCUUUCUGUGAGUGUCAAAAGCAUGCAAAUAAUUCAAAGGACGUCCUAUAAUAUAGAACUAAUAUACGACGGUAUAAUCAGCUGUAGUCAAGAAAGUACGAGAAUCAUCGUAAAUUUUUAAAGUAAAAAUGAAAAAUGACCGUCAUGCGAUAGAAAAAGCAGCAAUGACGUAACUCUUGAUGUAACAUCAUUAAUUCUUCACCUAGUUCGAGUAUAACAAGCGCAAGCUAUGCCGAAGAUGGUUUACUUGAAUAUGUAUAAAUGCCAUCGACAUCUUUUCUGCAGCUCGUGUUCCAGAUUUCCUUUAGCGACUCGAUGACAUAGCAUGAAUUGUCUCGGAACGGCACUAAUGCAAGUUAUUUUAUGAAAUCAACGACCGGAUCUGAUUACAGGGAAGUAUUCACACAGUCAAUCACCGCAAAUCUCUUGGAAAUAUACACAUCGAUGUCUAAGUCGUAAUUCCAUGAGAGCAAACACGCUGAUCCGAACUAGCUAAGCAGACAGAUUGUAUAUUUUUUUCUGGGGAAUGAACGAAUGUUCGCUCUUCUGAAAAAUCUUUUUACGUUAGGAAGAAGUAGCGUGCGUUCUAAAGUUAGAUGGUCUACGUUCACGGAGUGAAUAUGUUGGCUUAGCGUAAAAAUAAGCUGAUACGAGGACCAUUUACGACAUAGGGCUGCGAUCACGACGUGAGGAAACAGUAAGUAACACGCGAAUGUGAAAUUUGGAGUUCCUAUUUGGAAUUUGCAGUUUGAAUGCUCAAGUUAAGUGUAAUCAAGGUUUAACUAUUUGUUGUUCGACAGCUACAUAUGAGUAUCACAUUAUGUGUAUAUGCAUGUAUGUAUGGUACAUAUGUAUGUAUGGUAUGUACGUAGGUAUGUUUUAUAUGUAGAUAUAUGGGUUACUUUUAAGUAUAGCAGUUACUUCUUAUAUUACCACAAUUUAUA
rnacentral:lncRNA from 1 species